AUAAGCGGAGGAAAAGAAACCAACAGGGAUUGCCCUAGUAACGGCGAGUGAAGCGGCAACAGCUCAAAUUUGAAAUCUGGCUCUUUCAGAGUCCGAGUUGUAAUUUGCAGAGGGCGCUUUGGUGUUGGUAGCGGUCCAAGUUCUUUGGAACAGGACGUCACAGAGGGUGAGAAUCCCGUACGUGGUCGCUAACCCUCACCGUGUAAAGCCCCUUCGACGAGUCGAGUUGUUUGGGAAUGCAGCUCUAAAUGGGAGGUAAAUUUCUUCUAAAGCUAAAUACUGGCCAGAGACCGAUAGCGCACAAGUAGAGUGAUCGAAAGAUGAAAAGCACUUUGGAAAGAGAGUCAAAUAGCACGUGAAAUUGUUGAAAGGGAAGCGCUUGCAGCCAGACUUGCCUGUAGUUGCUUAUCCGGACUUUUGUCCGGUGCACUCUUCUGCGGGCAGGCCAGCAUCAGUUUGGGCGGUUGGAUAAAGGUCUCUGUCAUGUACCUCCUUUCGGGGAGGCCUUAUAGGGGAGACGACAUGCAACCAGCCCGGACUGAGGUCCGCGCAUCUGCUAGGAUGCUGGCGUAAUGGCUGUAAGCGGCCCGUCUUGAAACACGGACCAAGGAGUCUAACAUCUAUGCGAGUGUUUGGGUGUCAAGCCCAGACGCGUAAUGAAAGUGAACGGAGGUGGGAACCCUUUGGGUGCACCAUCGACCGAUCCUGAUGUCUUCGGAUGGAUUUGAGUAAGAGCAUGGCUGUUGGGACCCGAAAGAUGGUGAACUAUGCUUGAAUAGGGUGAAGCCAGAGGAAACUCUGGUGGAGGCUCGCAGCGGUUCUGACGUGCAAAUCGAUCGUCAAAUUUGGGCAUAGGGGCGAAAGACUAAUCG
rnacentral:rRNA from 1 species